AGUGAACGCUGGCGGCAGGCCUAACACAUGCAAGUCGAACGGCAGCACAGUAAGAGCUUGCUCUUACGGGUGGCGAGUGGCGGACGGGUGAGGAAUACAUCGGAAUCUACUUUUUCGUGGGGGAUAACGUAGGGAAACUUACGCUAAUACCGCAUACGACCUACGGGUGAAAGCAGGGGAUCUUCGGACCUUGCGCGAUUGAAUGAGCCGAUGUCGGAUUAGCUAGUUGGCGGGGUAAAGGCCCACCAAGGCGACGAUCCGUAGCUGGUCUGAGAGGAUGAUAGGCCACACUGGAACUGAGACACGGUCCAGACUCCUACGGGAGGCAGCAGUGGGGAAUAUUGGACAAUGGGCGCAAGCCUGAUCCAGCCAUACCGCGUGGGUGAAGAAGGCCUUCGGGUUGUAAAGCCCUUUUGUUGGGAAAGAAAAGCAGCAGGUUAAUACCCCGCUGUUCUGGCGGUACCCAAAGAAUAAGCACCGGCUAACUUCGUG
rnacentral:rRNA from 1 species